rnacentral:rRNA from 1 species
GCUACGGGAGGCAGCAGUGGGGAAUAUUGCACAAUGGGGGAAACCCUGAUGCAGCAACGCCGCGUGAAGGAAGACGGUUUUCGGAUUGUAAACUUCUGUUCUUAGUGAAGAAUAAUGACGGUAGCUAAGGAGCAAGCCACGGCUAACUACGUGCCAGCAGCCGCGGUAAUACGUAGGUGGCAAGCGUUGUCCGGAAUUACUGGGGGUAAAGGGAGCGUAGGCGGGGAUGCAAGUUGGGUGUCAAAACUACCGGCUCAAGUGGUAGUCGCACUCAAGACUGGAGCUCUUGAGUGAAGUAGAGGCAAGCGGAAGUCCUAGUGUAGCGGUGGAAUGCGUAGAUAUUAGGAGGAACACCAGUGGCGAAGGCGGCCUGCUGGGCUUUUACUGACGCUGAGGCUCGAAAGUGUGGGGAGCAAACAGGAUUAGAUACCCUAGUAGUC